rnacentral:rRNA from 1 species
AUACGGAGGAUGCAAGCGUUAUCCGGAUUUAUUGGGUUUAAAGGGUGCGUAGGCGGUUUGCUAAGCGGGAGGUGAAAUGCCGGCGCUCAACGUCGGAAGUGCCUCCCGAACUGGUGGACUUGAAUGACUCUGCCGUGGGAGGAAUGUGUAGUGUAGCGGUGAAAUGCUUAGAGAUUACACAGAACACCGAUUGCGAAGGCGUCUCACGAAGGGUUGAUUGACGCUGAGGCACGAAAGCGUGGGGAUCAAACAGGAUUAGAUACCCUGGUAGUCCACGCAGUAAACGAUGAUGGCUAACCGCUGGGCUUAUCAGUUCAGUGGCCAAGCGAAAGCGAUAAGCCAUCCACCUGGGGAGUACGACCGCAAGGUUGAAACUCAAAUGAAUUGACGGGG